AAUCAUACAAAUCAUGACUAGUUUUAAAUUUAUUACUUUUUAAAAUUAGCUCAAUAUAUACAUUCCAUUGUAUAAAAGAAAUACUAGCUUCGCAUAAUAAAUUAAACUAGGUCCGAUUUGCACGACAUUAUUUUGACCAGUGUUUAAGUUAUUAUUGCCGACGCCGGCACUUGCCGCCAGUUGAAAUUAAAACGGAUCGAAUUCGGAGCAGACAACGAAGUCCCGAGGUUUUAUGGCUAUCCGCAGAUCGUUGGAAUUCACACCAGGAAUCCCGCACGGGUGAAAGAAUCGGGCUGCAGUGGAAAAUAGCAGGGCCCGGAUGCUGCCACAUUACCGUCACGAGGAGGACCCAGCAGGAAAAUUAACGGGAAGUCGGAGUUGCAGCAGUGUGUGAUCACCGUGGAAAAGCGGAACAAUCAAGAGCAUUUAGAACACAGUGUCGCCAAGUAUAUCCGCGCCAAUCUCCGCGCAUUUUUACGCGUAAAGAGGAAACCAACAUCACAAGACAUCCCGCCGACCAUCCGGAAGUGCCAGACCAGCUAUAAUCUUUCACCUGACCGUGGUUGUGCGAUUCCGUGCUACUUGAAUACGCGUGAGGUGGUCCAAAAUGCACCUCAGUUUAUCAUUUGGCGAAGAUCUCCCUCGCUGUUCCUCUCCAAACGGAAAUACCUGGAUCUUGUCACCAAACUCCCGUAGCAGUUAUCGUGGCAGCGUCCCCCAUUCAUUGCGGUUCCAUGUGUCGUUGAUUUGUUUUUGUUAUUUACGUAUUUAAUUUUAAAAUGAAUAAAAAUUUAAUAUUAAGGUUUA